UCUUCUUCACCAAAUCAUCCCGUCGGUCCGAGCAAUGUCAUGGUACCGAAGAAACCAAACCUCGAUUACAAAAGCCAAUCGAAGAGUUCAUCUGAGAUCUUCUUCCUCCAUUUGUUUCUCGCACAGUUUCAGUGACCGAUGGAUCAAACUUUCAGAUCAUUUGGGAUUAAGUUGGAGAAACAGAAAUUGAUAGGGAUUGCUUGAGCUUGAGCGUGAAUGUUUUGGAAGUAUAUAGCACAAAAGUUGACCAAGCUAAUCGAUCUAGAGCUCAGCUAAGGCAAGCAAUAGCUGAUGCUGAAUCAUGGGGGAACGUCCUGUGCAUAUUAGCAGUCUGAUCAAAGGCGUUGGGAGCUUGGGACGAUUCUUCUGAACUGGAAUAGAUGCAAAAGA